UUGCUCUAGCAGCACAUACACCAAAACUGGAAUGAUACAAAGAUUAGCAUGGCCUCUGCACAGUGAUGACACACAAAUUCAUGAAGUGUUUAAUAUUCUG
rnacentral:snRNA from 1 species